rnacentral:rRNA from 1 species
AUUGAACGCUGGCGGCAGGCCUAACACAUGCAAGUCGAGCGGAUGAAGGGAGCUUGCUCCUGGAUUCAGCGGCGGACGGGUGAGUAAUGCCUAGGAAUCUGCCUGGUAGUGGGGGAUAACGUCCGGAAACGGGCGCUAAUACCGCAUACGUCCUGAGGGAGAAAGUGGGGGAUCUUCGGACCUCACGCUAUCAGAUGAGCCUAGGUCGGAUUAGCUAGUUGGUGGGGUAAAGGCCUACCAAGGCGACGAUCCGUAACUGGUCUGAGAGGAUGAUCAGUCACACUGGAACUGAGACACGGUCCAGACUCCUACGGGAGGCAGCAGUGGGGAAUAUUGGGCAAUGGGCGAAAGCCUGAUGCAGCCAUGCCGCGUGUGUGAAGAAGGUCUUCGGAUUGUAAAGCACUUUAAGUUGGGAGGAAGGGCAGUAAGUUAAUACCUUGCUGUUUUGACGUUACCUACAGAGUAAGCACCGGCUAACUUCGUG